rnacentral:rRNA from 1 species
UAGCGUCUAUUAAAGUUGUUGCAGUUAAAAAGCUCGUAGUUGAACUUCAGACCUGGCUGGGUGGUCCGCCUCACGGUGUGUACUGUCUGGCUGGGUCUUACCUCUUGGUGAGCCGGCAUGCCCUUUACUGGGUGUGUCGGGGAACCAGGACUUUUACCUUGAGAAAAUUAGAGUGUUCAAAGCAGGCCUGCGCCUGAAUACAUUAGCAUGGAAUAAUAAAAUAGGACGUGCGGUUCUAUUUUGUUGGUUUCUAGAGUCGCCGUAAUGAUUAAUAGGGAUAGUUGGGGGCAUUAGUAUUCCGUUGCUAGAGGUGAAAUUCUUGGAUUUACGGAAGACUAACUACUGCGAAAGCAUUUGCCAAGGAUGUUUUCAUUAAUCAAGAACGAAGGUUAGGGGAUCGAAAACGAUCAGAUACCGUUGUAGUCUUAACAGUAAACUAUGCCGACUAGGGAUCGGGCGAACUCAAUUUUAUGUGUCGCUCGGCACCUUACGAGAAAUACAAAGUCUUUGGGUUCUGGGGGGAGUAUGGUCGCAAGGCUGAAACUUAAAGGAAUUGNCGGAAGGGCACCACC